rnacentral:tRNA from 1 species
GGGUGAGUGGCGGAAUAGGCAGACGCGUUGGAUUUAAAAUCCAAUGACUAUUAAUAGUUGUGCGGGUUCGAUUCCCGCCUUACCCA